rnacentral:rRNA from 1 species
AUGGAAGUGAGCACGCGGGGUGACGUGAAGGGAUGCAAAGCUUCUAGUCUAAUGUACGAGUACAUUUUCCACAGAUCUAAGUCUGAGGAAUUCAUGGCAGUGCUCUCUGAUGUGAUGGACAAUGGGUUUGAACGAAAGGGAUAUGUCCGCCGGCUUUCUAUCCAUGCUACAGAAACUGGGAUUGCAGAAGAGAGAUUGCCCGAUGAUUUAUCCCAUCUCCAUACUCUGGCGGUAUUCGGCACUGAGAAGCCAGAAGUUACGAAGGAUCUUGCCAAUGGUUUGUUUGGGAACAAAGGGGUUCUUGCCAAGUAUAAAAUACUUCGGGUGUUGGAUUUGAAAGAAUGUGCCGGUAUGAAAGGAAAACAUCUUCAAACUAUAUGUGACCUGUUGCUGCUGAAAUAUCUGAGCCUCGGGGACAGUAUUGUUCGGGUUCCAAGGAAAAUAGCGCAGCUUAAACUGUUGGAAACACUCGAUCUAAGCAGAACCAAUGUAGUGACAGUGUACAUGCAAGUCUUGGGGCUCCCCAGUUUAACGCACCUUCUUGGGAAAGUUCGGUUGUCCAAAUGGGACUGCAUAUUCAGAAUGGAAAAGCUGAAAAGGUUCGUGAGGAAUAAAUGUAAGUUGGAUACCCUUGGAGGAUUCACCACCGGCAAGAGCGAAGCAUUUCCGCAACUGAUAGGUCAUAUGCGGCAAUUGAAUAAGGUGAAAAUAUGGAUCCAUCCCGCCGCUGAUACCAGAAACUUGGAACAUCUAACAGAAGGCAUCAAGGAAUUCAUUAGAAAAAGCAGGUUCGAAAGCAAUGUUGGUCGCUCACUAUCAGUUGACUUCUCAGAAUGCGUACAUGAACAUGCAGAACGAUCCUUGGAUUUCCUUAAACAAAAUGUGAACAUUCCAGACAAUAAUACCCAAGGGGCUCAAAUUACACAUGAAGGAGAUGCAAAUCAAUGUCUCGGAAGCAAUGCUGGCAGUACGAGCAAUCAAAUCAUGAAUAUCAAAAACAAUAUCCAAGAGCAGCAGACAGAAGAAAUACAAGAGCCCAAACAAGGUGCCCCCUCUGACUCUGAGGAUGCCUGUUCCAGAAAUGAAACUGAGAUGAUGCAAAACCAUCAGAAUAUCCGAGAAGGAUAUGACAAAUGCCCCAACAAGCUUUCCUCGCUCAAACUUUGUGGCAAGCUGACAAAAUUCCCUCUUCAAUUUGUCACAGAGAUUGCUGGUAUUGAGAGGUUGUGCCUUUCAUCUACAGGUCUGUCUGGGGAGAAUAUUGCAUACGCUCUAAGUGAAUUGCCCGACCUGUUUUAUCUAAAGCUGCGUGAAGAUGACUUAAGUCUCCUCGACCUGCAAAAUAAGCAAUUUCCGAGCCUCCGGCGCAUUUGCUUUUCUGUGAAAGAUGGUAAUCUGCCGCGCCCAACAAUCAUCAAACACUUCCAUAAUCUUCGCGAAGUGUAUCUGUAUGCUAAUCUGAAUUAUGAAGAAAGGCGCAGCUGGAAAGCAGCUUCAGAGAGUCAUCCUGAAAGGCCAAGGGUUUAUUUCGCCGAAAGCACAUGCAAGGGAACUUCUUCCGAGGCUGUGACCCAAAGCCAGUAA